AUGCUAAUGCCUCCCAUCAAAAGCUGCGGUAGAAUCAUCAGUUGUUUGAAUUUCAGUUUCGUGAGUCUGAUGGUUGGUUGAAUCGAAAUAAUUACACCACCACCGCCGCCGCCACUUGAGUUACCACACCAUUGCUUUAGAGAUCUAGGGUUUCAUAUUAGAUGUGAAAAAGGAAAAAGUGAUUAACAGCGAUGAUAUUUAUGGGUUAAACGACGAUGAAGACCUUAGAUUUAGGGUUUUGCAAGUUUACCUCUACUUCAAUAUCGCUCGUUGGA
rnacentral:lncRNA from 1 species